UACGUGGGGGGCAAGCGUUGUUCGGAAUUACUGGGCGUAAAGGGCUCGUAGGCGGCCAACUAAGUCAGACGUGAAAUCCCUCGGCUUAACCGGGGAACUGCGUCUGAUACUGGAUGGCUUGAGUUUGGGAGAGGGAUGCGGAAUUCCAGGUGUAGCGGUGAAAUGCGUAGAUAUCUGGAGGAACACCGGUGGCGAAGGCGGCAUCCUGGACCGGUAUUGACGCUGAGGAGCGAAAGCCAGGGGAGCAAACGGG
rnacentral:rRNA from 1 species